AUCUAGAUGAUGAGUCCUAAAUAGGACGAAAUGCGCAUCCUGGAA
rnacentral:hammerhead_ribozyme from 1 species